CCUACGGGAGGCAGCAGUGAGGAAUAUUGGUCAAUGGGCGGGAGCCUGAACCAGCCAAGUCGCGUGAGGGAAGACGGUCCUACGGAUUGUAAACCUCUUUUGCCGGGGAGCAACGGGGUCCUUGCGAGGGCCCAAUGAGAGUACCCGGAGAAAAAGCAUCGGCUAACUCGGUGCCAGCAGCCGCGGUAAUACGGAGGAUGCGAGCGUUAUCCGGAUUUAUUGGGUUGAAGGGGUGCGUAGGCGGGCUGUUAGGUCAGCGGUAAAAUGUCGGGGCUCAACCCCGGCCUGCCGUUGAAACUGGCGUCCUCGAGUGGGCGAGAAGUAUGCGGAAUGCGUGGUGUAGCGGUGAAAUGCAUAGAUAUCACGCAGAACUCCGAUUGCGAAGGCAGCAUACCGGCGCCCUACUGACGCUGAGGCACGAAAGCGUGGGUAUCGAACAGGAUUAGAUACCCUAGUAGUC
rnacentral:rRNA from 1 species